GUCCCUGUGGCUCAAGGAGUAGGGCGCUGGCCCCAUAUACCAGAGAUGGCGGGUUCAAACCCCGCUCAGGCCA
rnacentral:tRNA from 1 species